rnacentral:rRNA from 1 species
UCGAGAAUUUUUCUCAAUGGGGGAAACCCUGAAGGAGCGACGCCGCGUGGAGGAUGAAGGUCUUCGGAUUGUAAACUCCUGUCAUUGGUGAACAAGGCCAUGCGCAGUAACUGGCGCGUGGAUUGAUAGUAGCCGAAGAGGAAGAGACGGCUAACUCUGUGCCAGCAGCCGCGGUAAUACAGAGGUCUCAAGCGUUGUUCGGAUUCAUUGGGCGUAAAGGGUGCGUAGGUGGCGAGGCAAGUCAGGUGUGAAAUCCCAGGGCUCAACCCUGGAACUGCACUUGAUACUACUUUGCUAGAGUACUGGAGAGGAGAUUGGAAUUUACGGUGUAGCAGUGAAAUGCGUAGAUAUCGUAAGGAAGACCAGUGGCGAAGGCGAAUCUCUGGACAGUUACUGACACUGAGGCACGAAGGCCAGGGGAGCAAACGGGAUUAGAUACCCCCGUAGUCC